UAGCUAGUUGGUGAGGUAAAGGCUUACCAAGGCGACGAUCUGUAGCGGGUCUGAGAGGAUGAUCCGCCACACUGGAACUGAGACACGGUCCAGACUCCUACGGGAGGCAGCAGUGGGGAAUUUUGGACAAUGGGGGCAACCCUGAUCCAGCCAUGCCGCGUGAGUGAAGAAGGCCUUCGGGUUGUAAAGCUCUUUCGGCCGGGAAGAAAUCGCAUGGGCCAAUACCCUGUGUGGAUGACGGUACCGGAAUAAGAAGCACCGGCUAACUACGUGCCAGCAGCCGCGGUAAUACGUAGGGUGCGAGCGUUAAUCGGAAUUACUGGGCGUAAAGCGUGCGCAGGCGGUUUUGUAAGACAGGCGUGAAAUCCCCGGGCUUAACCUGGGAACUGCGUUUGUGACUGCAAGGCUAGAGUACGGCAGAGGGGGGUGGAAUUCCACGUGUAGCAGUGAAAUGCGUAGAGAUGUGGAGGAACACCAAUGGCGAAGGCAGCCCCCUGGGUCGAUACUGACGCUCAUGCACGAAAGCGUGGGUAGCAAACAGGAUUAGAUACCCUGGUAGUCCACGCCCUAAACUAUGUCAACUAGGUGUUGGGUGGGUAAAACCAUUUAGUACCGUAGCUAACGCGUGAAGUUGACCGCCUGGGGAGUACGGCCGCAAGGUUAAAACUCAAAGGAAUUGACGGGGACCCGCACAAGCGGUGGAUGAUGUGGAUUAAUUCGAUGCAACGCGAAAAACCUUACCUACCCUUGACAUGCCAGGAACUUGCCAGAGAUGGCUUGGUGCCCGAAAGGGAGCCUGGACGCAGGUGCUGCAUGGCUGUCGUCAGCUCGUGUCGUGAGAUGUUGGGUUAAGUCCCGCAACGAGCGCAACCCUUGUCGUUAAUUGCCAUCAUUUAGUUGGGCACUUUAACGAGACUGCCGGUGACAAACCGGAGGAAGGUGGGGAUGACGUCAAGUCCUCAUGGCCCUUAUGGGUAGGGCUUCACACGUCAUACAAUGGUCGGUACAAAGGGUUGCCAAGCCGCGAGGCGGACCCAAUCCCAGAAAGCCGAUCGUAGUCCGGAUUGCAGGCUGCAACUCGCCUGCAUGAAGUCGGAAUCGCUAGUAAUCGUGGAUCAGCAUGUCACGGUGAAUACGUUCCCGGGUCUUGUACACACCGCCCGUCACACCAUGGGAGCGGGUUCCGCCAGAAGUAGGUAGCCUAACCGCAAGGGGGGCGCUUACCACGGCGGGGUUCGUGACUGGGGUGUAGUCGGAACAAGGUAGCCGUAGGGGAACCUGCGGCUG
rnacentral:rRNA from 1 species